ACAUCCUUGAAGUUUUAAACUAUUAAAAUUUAUUGAAAUACCAUGUGUUUUUUUUCUCCUAGAAAACAACAGCAGCAACAGUAAUUGCAUGAAAUAGUACAAUUCUUAAUAGUUACUUGGCAAAGGGAUUCCUUGAUAAGUGAUCAAUCAUAUGGGUCUAUUAAUCUACUGCAGUGUGUGUAUAUUGCUUGUCUCACUACAGGAGAUUGUCUCAUGCAGACUGAUAAGAUCUGGCAUGCUUUAUAUUUAGAAACUCAUAACAAGAGAUCAACCAAUAAAAAUAAAGUCAGGGAACUACUUCUGGGGGCUGUACAUGUACCACAAAAAGUAAUCCAUAGCUUUUUCUGUUUUAUAUCAGAGUAAUCUUCAAAAUUUAUGAGUAUGUGAUUGAAUGGAAUAAAAUCUUCCUCUAGUACAAAAAUAUUUUAACAUCAUAGAUGUAUCAUUACCUUCAUUAGCUGACUGUAAAUGGCACAUUUGCCCAAGAAUAUCAAAAUUUCAAAUCUACACAGGAAGUUCUUUGACAGAGAGCAGAAUAGAGUAAAUAUUUGGGAGAGUGUUUCCCUAAAUAUUUUACUAUGUGCAGCUUAUUUCAUCUUGGAAGUUAACAGUAAUUAACAGAAUGCACCAGGUAUAGCAUCAUAUGUGUAUAUAAAGUAUCAGCACACAUGAAUGAAUUGAGACAUGUUUAGUGAUCCAAUGUAUUGUGUUCAAAGUUUCCAUCCAACAGUUCAAAGACAUGUCAUAGCAGUGAAGCAAAUGGUGGCAAAUGAUGGCUUUGUGGUGGUUAGUGAAAAACUGAGGCAAUCUACAUUGGUGGUGGCAAACACUAACAGAAAAUUUCUAGACCAGCAGUGACAUGAAGUUGAUGAAAUAAUGACAUAUUUUACACUGUACUGAAGAUGUAAUUGCGAAAAUCAUUAGGGUUAUCAGUGGAAAACAUUGAUAUACUACAAUAAGAGUGGAACUGACAUUUUAACACUAUUGUUUGUACUAUUAUACAUCACCUAGUUCAAAAUUCAUAAGCAUUUUUGUUAUAUUAUAGACUUUUGGCAUUGAAAAACAUAGUUAUUUAAAGACGUAAAUAAUAUCGUUAUUGUUCUAAAUUAGUUUAAAUGCUGACUGAUUUAAGAACAAUCAAAAUAAAAGGUUGAUUUACAUUUAUUGUUUCAUUUUUAUUGAGUGACCUUACAUUUAGAUUUGUGAUCACUUUUCUGUCUGUCCAUAAAUCCGUAUCAGUCAAAAAUGAUAGUCAGUUCUUAGAUUUUGAAUUUUUUUUUAAAUUAAGGGUAUAUUUUUACUUGUCUGUUAUUGUGUUUUAAUUUUCUUUUAAUGCUCUUUGAUAUGCAGACCUAAUUGCAGGAAUUUUUUUAUAGGAACUUUCAAUUUCUGCAAGCUUGCGCAAGCUUACGGCAAGCUUACAGCAAGCUUGCAAAUUGAAAUCAAAUACAAGGGCCUGCAAGCUUGCGCAAGCUUGCAACAAGGUUCCAAUUCUAAGCUUGCAGCAAGGUUCAUGAGCAUAAGCUUGCGCAAGCUUGCAAAAUGAAAUGAACUGCAAGCUUGCGCAAGCUUGCUGCGAGGUUCCAAUUCUGAGCUUGCGGCAAGCUUCAUCUGCAAGCUUGCAACAAGCUUGCCGCAAGCUAAAAAAUAAGCUUGCGAUUUUGGU
rnacentral:lncRNA from 1 species